rnacentral:rRNA from 1 species
UCCUUAGAUGUUCUGGGCCGCACGCGCGCUACACUGAUGCAUUCAACGAGCACCCGCUGGGCCGAGAGGUCCGGCUAAUCUUUGAACGUGCAUCGUGCUGGGGAUAGAUGAUUGCAAUUAUUCAUCUUCAACGAGGAAUUCCUAGUAAACGCAAGUCAUCAGCUUGCAUUGAUUACGUCCCUGCCCUUUGUACACACCGCCCGUCGCACCUACCGAUUGAAUGGUCCGGUGAAAUUCUCGGACGCGGACUUGCGAUGUUAAUUCGGAGCUUGACUGUGAAAGUUAAUUAAACCUUACCAUUUAGAGGAAGGUGAAGUCGUAACA